AGCCAAGCCCUAGCCCAGACAUUCCGACCCCGACAAGAGUUAAAAAUAGCUCAACCAAGAUAAACCAAAACAUUUUCCCUGACCUAGUAUAGGCGAUAGAAAAGACACCUACUGGCGCUAUAGAAUUCCGUACCGCAAGGGACCGAUGAAAUAAUAAUGAAAAACCCAAGCAACAAGCAGCAAAGAUGAGCCCUUGUACCUUUUGCAUCAUGAUCUAGCAAGACUAACCAAGCAAAACGUAUUUAAGCUUGCCCCCCCGAAACCUGAGCGAGCUACUCACGAGCAGCUAGUUAUGAGCGAACCCGUCUCUGUGGCAAAAGAGUGGGACGACUUGUUAGUAGAGGUGAAAAGCCUACCGAGCCAGGUGAUAGCUGGUUGCCUGUGAAAAGAAUCUAAGUUCACCCUUGACUUUUGUCCCACUCCCACGGACCAAACCAACCCAACGCCAAACCUACGGUGUGGCAGUCAAGAGAAAUUUAAAGGAGGAACAGCUCCUUUUAAAAAGGACACAACCUCUCCCAGCGGAUAAUCCCCAAACACCAAACCAACCUGUGGGCCUUCAAGCAGCCAUCAACAAAGAAUGCGUCAAAGCUCCUCACGCCACAAAAAUCUAAGAACAUUACGACUCCCUCACCCCCAACAGGCCAACCUAUGUCCAAUAGGAGAACUAAUGCUAGAAUGAGUAACUAGGGACCACCCUCUACGGGCGCAAGCUUACAUCAUUAAAUCAUUAACAACCUGCCUGAUACUUCAACUCUAACAGGACCAAGUAUCUCAUACACUGUUAGCCCAACUCAGGUGCGCCCAUCAGAAAGAUUAAAAUCUGUAAAAGGAACUAGGCAAGCACAAGGCCCGACUGUUUACCAAAAACAUAGCCUCUAGCAGAAUCAAGUAUUAGAGGUGAUGCCUGCCCAGUGACAUAAAUGUUAAACGGCCGCGGUAUCCUAACCGUGCGAAGGUAGCGCAAUCAAUUGUCCCAUAAAUCGAGACUUGUAUGAAUGGCUAAACGAGGUCUUAACUGUCUCUUACAGAUAAUCAGUGAAAUUGAUCUCCCCGUGCAAAAGCAGGGAUGAUUCCAUAAGACGAGAAGACCCUGUGGAACUUGAAAAUCAACGGCCACCACACACCCCUCUCAGCCCAUAGGGCCCACAUACCUAAGUACUGGCUCGCAUUUUUUCGGUUGGGGCGACCUUGGAGUAAAAACAACCCUCCAAAACUAAGACCACGCGUCUUAACCAAGAACAACCCAUCAACGUGCAAACAGCAACCUGACCCAAUAACAAUUGAUCAAUGAACCAAGCUACCCCAGGGAUAACAGCGCAAUCCCCUCCAAGAGCCCCUAUCGACAAGGGGGUUUACGACCUCGAUGUUGGAUCAGGACAUCCUAAUGGUGCAGCUGCUAUUAAGGGUUCGUUUGUUCAACGAUUAACAGUCCUACGUGAUCUGAGUUCAGACCGGAGCAAUCCAGGUCGGUUUCUAUCUAUGACCCGGUUUUUCUUAGUACGAAAGGACCAGAAAAACAAGGCCAAUGCCCCAGGUAAGCCUUCCCAAUAAGUAAUGACCUCAACUAAAUUACGAACUGGGCCUCCACCUUAACUCCCCUAAAAAAGGGUU
rnacentral:rRNA from 1 species